UCAUGUGAAUAGUAUCGAGUCGUGGAUCGAUUGCUGUUGUGGGAUUCGAGUAACUAGGGCGCCGAAACGAAGCCGUGCAAAGGGGCGAUCAUGGCGGCGGCGUCGUUGACGAGAGGGGAGCCCCUGCUGUCGCGGCUGGCGGCGUGGUCGACCUUCGUCGUGUUCCCGUCCGCCGUCGUCGCCUACUGCCUCACCGUGACCCAAGCGAAGCCUCCCAAGAAGCAAGAUCUAUCUCCUCCCUCUUCCUCCUAAUAAUUCCUUCUCAGAUGAGGUGUUCAAUGUGGCAUGUUCGGCAAGAAAAGCAGCUUCCUUUGGACUUUUGCGGGAAGCACUUCAUCGGAGUCCACAACUUAGUAUCAGCGUUGAGAAUUCGUCUUUUGUUUCGUGAUGCCCACUCGGGCCAAAUGUUCAGUAGAGACUUAGAAGGGACCUCUUAAUGUUAUAAUUGAAGUACUGUUUUGAGGGUAGGGAACGAGCAAUUGGUACGUGGUCUAAUAAACUCUGAAGAGAAGUUUAGCCAAAAGAAAUAUUUGACCAGCAUCAUAUUUUGAUUGAAUAGACAGCAAAUAACAGGA